rnacentral:rRNA from 1 species
GAAGAUGCCGGAUACCUGCGACAGGACGGAAAGACCCCAUGGAGUCUUUACUGUAGCUUAGCAUUGGAUUUAGGUAGUAUAUGUACAGGAUAGGUGGGAGGCUUUGAAAGUAGGACGCCAGUUUUGCUGGAGCCAUCCUUGGGAUACCACCCUUGUACUAUCUGGAUUCUAACCACGAUGAGUGAAUCCUCAUCUGGGACACUGCUUGGCGGGCAGUUUGACUGGGGCGGUCGCCUCCCAAAAUGUAACGGAGGCGCUCAAAGGUUCCCUCAGCACGGUCGGAAAUCGUGCGUAGAGUGUAAAGGACAAAAGGGAGCUUGAUUGCGAGACAUACAGGUCGAGCAAGGACGAAAGUCGGACUUAGUGAUCCGGUGGUACCGCGUGGAAGGGCCAUCGCUCAACGGAUAAAAGCUACCCUGGGGGAUAACAGGCUGAUCUCCCCCAAGAGUCCACAUCGACGGGGA